CCUACGGGAGGCAGCAGUGGGGAAUAUUGGGCAAUGGGCGCAAGCCUGACCCAGCAACGCAGCGUGAAGGAAGAAAGCCCUCGGGUUGUAAAAUUCUUUUGUCAGGGACGACACAAAUGACGGUACCUGACGAAUAAGCCACGGCGGACUACGGGCCAGCCGCCGCGGUAAUACGUAGGUGGCAAGCGUUAUCCGGAUUUACUGGGUGUAAAGGGCGUGUAGGCGGGAGAGCAAGUCAGAUGUGAAAUUCCAGGGGUCAACCCUGGAACUGCAUUUGAAACUGUUUUUCUUGAGGGAUGGAGAGGCAGGCGGAAUGCCGUGUGUAGCGGUGAAAUGCGUAGAUAUACGGAGGAACACCAGUGGCGAAGGCGGCCUGCUGGACAUUAACUGACGCUGAGGCGCGAAAGCGUGGGGAGCAAACAGGAUUAGAUACCCGUGUAGUC
rnacentral:rRNA from 1 species